rnacentral:piRNA from 1 species
UACACCAAUUCUAAACAGUGUUGAGGCUG